rnacentral:rRNA from 1 species
CCUACGGGCGGCAGCAGUGGGGAAUCUUGCGCAAUGGGCGGAAGCCUGACGCAGCGACGCCGCGUGCGGGACGAAGGCCUUCGGGUCGUAAACCGCUUUUGCACGGGGAUAACACCCUCCACUUGUGGAGGUCUGCAGGUACCGUGCGAAUAAGGGCCGGCUAAUUCCGUGCCAGCAGCCGCGGUAAUACGGAAGGCCCGAGCGUUAUCCGGAGUCAUUGGGCUUAAAGGGAGCGUAGGCGGGCGUUCAAGUCAGCUGUAAAAUCGCGCGGCUCAACCGCGCCCCGCAGUUGAAACUGGACGCCUUGAGUUCACAACAGGCAGGCGGAAUUCGUGGUGUAGCGGUGAAAUGCAUAGAUAUCACGAGGAACCCCGAUUGCGAAGGCAGCCUGCCGGGGUGCGACUGACGCUGAGGCUCGAAGGUGCGGGUAUCAAACAGGAUUAGAUACCCCGGUAGUC